ACAUUGCGCUAAUAAUACCUUUCGUUCACUCUUCACUUCAGUAAAAACUUCACUUAGUAAAAAAUGUGAAUGCAGGACCUUUACUGUGCCGUAUUAAUAAUUUUACUAUUAAUAGUUUUACUUCAGAAAAAAGUUUAGAGUAUUUCUUCUACCACUGCCAAUACCAACAUAACCAGUUAGAGAGGACAGUGUUUACCUGGGACCCCAAAUCAGUAAAUCUUCCCCUGAAUGUUAUUAGAAGUUCUGUUUGUUUUAGUAAAAGCUGCAUUAACCUGUUUUGGCCACCAGGAGGCAGAACAGCUUCAUAACAGUCUGACAGACACACAACUUGAAGUUUCAACGCUUUUACAGAUGCUAACAUGUUAGCAAAAUACUGCGCACAUUACUUACAUAUCCAGCAGACAUGCAGCGACGUAAUCAUCAUAUUUGAGUCGUGUUUCUGCUCCACCUGAUGAAUUUGCAGGUUUCUCCCAGCGGGUGGCGAUCAUGUGACAUUACUUCCUGCUACGGCUCUCCUGCAUGCAACAAGUGCACACUGUUAAGUUAUAUUGUAAAAACUUGAACAAAGCUGCAUCUUGAAAACCAGAACAAGCAGUAUGACAGUGAUCAGUGAAAAACAACGAAGGAAUCUUGGAUCUGACGAUGAUGAAACUCGUGUUCCUGAUUUAUGAGAAGCCGAUACUGUCCACAAUGAAGGGAACGGAUUCUCCUCACAAAACAGUUCAAGGCAAGUGAAGUACAAAAAGUGGCUGCGUGAUCAAGAAUAUGGCUGCAACUAACGAUUGUUUUCAUCAUUGUUUUUCAUUUUCUUGAUUAAUCAAUUAUUUGUGUUCACAGAACCGAAGCUUAUUCUUCAAAAUGUCUGGUUUUGUCCAACCAUCGUCCAAACAGUCAAAAACUUAUGAAACAAGAAAAUAUACACAUUUGAAAAGCUGGAUUUUUGCCCUUUUUGCUCAAAAAUAGUGCUUAAACAAUUAUUUGAUCAUCAAAAUUAUUGCCAGUUAAUUUUCUGUUGAUCGACUAACCGUUGCAGCUCUAAUCAAAAACAAAAUCAAGAAGUCAAGACUGAUGUUGAUCAGUGUUUGUUGUUUCCACCGCUCACAAUAAAAGAGUAUUAUGCAUUUAAUAAUUACUUUAUACAAGUAUAUAGAUGUUUUACAGCAGGUUAUAAUAAGAUGAAUGAUGCCAGUGUGAAGAUCUGCGCACUGAAAGAGGAACUGUGACAUUAAUUUGUAGUUGUAGCCCUGCGACAUAAACUCCAAUCACUUAAUGUGUCAACCAACAACACACUUAUGAGAGAUAAGCAAUAAAUAUUACAAAUAAUAUAAAUAUUGAGUAAAUGUUUUAAAAUGGUUUGCAGACUUAAAUAAAACACGCUGUCAACAACAUUUAAAUCAUGUUCAGGGUGUGAAACACAAACACCUCUCAGACUCAGCUUUGCUGCUUCGUCUGAGUCUCGUCCAACCAAGUCCGAUCUAGUGCUUGAGGGAAAAUCCGGUUCAUGUCACAAGUCAUCAUGAGCUAAUUUUAAGUCAGUUGCAAGUCUGUCUUCUCACUGAAUGCAGUCAUUUUUUAGCAAAAAUGCCAAAUAUUUGAUAGUUUCAGGUUCUCAAAUUUGAGAUCUUGCCACUUUUCACCGUCUUACAUCGUAGGAAACAGAAAAUCUUUGAGUUUUGGACUGUUGGACAAAAUAAGACAUUUAAUGAAAUCAUCUGGGCUCUAGGAAAUUGUG